rnacentral:rRNA from 1 species
CUUAACUUGGGAAUUGCAUUCGAUACUGGUUAGCUAGAGUAUGGGAGAGGAUGGUAGAAUUCCAGGUGUAGCGGUGAAAUGCGUAGAGAUCUGGAGGAAUACCGAUGGCGAAGGCAGCCAUCUGGCCUAAUACUGACACUGAGGUGCGAAAGCAUGGGGAGCAAACAGGAUUAGAUACCCUGGUAGUCCAUGCCGUAAACGAUGUCUACUAGCCGUUGGGGCCUUUGAGGCUUUAGUGGCGCAGCUAACGCGAUAAGUAGACCGCCUGGGGAGUACGGUCGCAAGACUAAAACUCAAAUGAAUUGACGGGGGCCCGCACAAGCGGUGGAGCAUGUGGUUUAAUUCGAUGCAACGCGAAGAACCUUACCUGGCCUUGACAUACAGAGAACUUUCCAGAGAUGGAUUGGUGCCUUCGGGAACUCUGAUACAGGUGCUGCAUGGCUGUCGUCAGCUCGUGUCGUGAGAUGUUGGGUUAAGUCCCGCAACGAGCGCAACCCUUUUCCUUACUUGCCAGCAUUUCGGAUGGGAACUUUAAGGAUACUGCCAGUGA